CCUACGGGAGGCUGCAGUGAGGAAUAUUGGUCAAUGGGCGGGAGCCUGAACCAGCCAAGCCGCGUGAGGGAAGAAGGUACUGCGUAUCGUAAACCUCUUUUGUCAGGGAACAAAGGCGGGGACUCGUCCCCGGACGAGGGUACCCGAAGAAAAAGCAUCGGCUAACUCCGUGCCAGCAGCCGCGGUAAUACGGAGGAUGCGAGCGUUAUCCGGAUUUAUUGGGUUUAAAGGGUGCGCAGGCGGCCUGUUAAGUCAGCGGUAAAAUCCAGGGGCUCAACCCCGGCGAGCCGUUGAAACUGGGGGGCUUGAGUGGGAGAGAAGUACGCGGAAUGCGCGGUGUAGCGGUGAAAUGCUUAGAUAUCGCGCAGAACCCCGAUUGCGAAGGCAGCGUACCGGCGCCACACUGACGCUGAGGCACGAAAGCGUGGGUAUCGAACAGGAUUAGAUACCCGAGUAGUC
rnacentral:rRNA from 1 species